rnacentral:rRNA from 1 species
CGGCAUGCCUUACACAUGCAAGUCGAACGGAAGCAUAGGAGCUUGUUCCUGAUGGAGAGUGGCGAACGGGUGAGUAAUAUAUCGGAACGUGCCCUAGAGUGGGGGAUAACUAGUCGAAAGACUAGCUAAUACCGCAUACGAUCUACGGAUGAAAGUGGGGGAUCGCAAGACCUCAUGCUCCUGGAGCGGCCGAUAUCUGAUUAGCUAGUUGGUGGGGUAAAAGCCUACCAAGGCAACGAUCAGUAGCUGGUCUGAGAGGACGACCAGCCACACUGGGACUGAGACACGGCCCAGACUCCUACGGGAGGCAGAAGUGGGGAAUUUUGGACAAUGGGGGCAACCCUGAUCCAGCAAUGCCGCGUGAGUGAAGAAGGCCUCCGGGUUGUAAAGCUCUUUNGUCAGGGAAGAAACGGUAGUAGCGAAUAACUUAUUACUACUGACGGCACCUGAAGAAUAAGCACCGGUUAACUACGUGCCAGCAG